rfam:Ruminococcus sp. CAG:9 genomic scaffold, scf253
ACAAAAACGUUGAUGGAGAGAGUAACUGCAGGGGAAAGCAGACAGCGAACCGGGGAGGGUGUGAGUCCGGUGGUGAGUAAAUGCAGUGAAGAUCACUCCGGAGUUGCAGCUCUGAAGGGUGUACAGACAGGUAAGAGCUGACGGAAAUCCCCGUUAAAAGAUUCAUGUAUCGGCAGAGGAUGCCCGUACAAUGUAACAGGUGGUAUAGCGAACGUCAAUAAACCUUCGUCCUUUUA